GACGUAGGGCGCGAGCGUGUCCGGAUUUAUUGGGCGUAAAGAGCUCGUAGGCGGCUCGUUGCGUCGGCUGUGAAAACCCGCAGCUCAACUGUGGGCUUGCAGCUGAUACGGGCGGGCUGGGAUUCGGUAGGGGAGACUGGAAUUCCUGGUGUAGCGGUGAAAUGCGCAGAUAUCAGGAGGAACACCGGUGGCGAAGGCGGCCUGCUGGGACAUUGCUGACGCUGAGGCGCGACAGCGUGGGGAGCAAACAGG
rnacentral:rRNA from 1 species